AGCGAACGUUAGCAGCGGGCCUAACACAUGCAAGUCGAGCGAGAAAGGGGCUUCGGCCCUGAGUAAAGCGGCGGACGGGUGAGUAACACGUAGGUAAUCUUCCUUCGAGCGGGGGACAACGGUCCGAAAGGACCGCUAAUACCGCGUACGUUCCCGAGGACCCUGGACCUUGGGAGGAACGCUAGGUCGCAAGAUCCGGCACUCGGCGAGGAGCCUGCGUCGCAUCAGCCAGUUGGUUGGGUAAUGGCCUACCAAGGAGAAGACGCGUAGCUGGUCUGAGAGGAUGAUCAGCCACACUGGGACUGAGACACGGACCAGACUCCUACGGGAGGCAGCAGUGGGGAAUAUUGGACAAUGGGCGCAAGCCUGAUCCAGCCACGCCGCGUGAGUGAUGAAGGCCUUCGGGUCGUAAAGCUCUGUGGGGAGGGACGAACCGCUGCACGUGCAUAGCGUGCAGCAUGACGGUACCUCCUAAGCAAGCACCGGCUAACUUCGUGCCAGCCGCCGCCGUAA
rnacentral:rRNA from 1 species